UGAAAAACAAUGCUACAGAAAUAGCCCUGGGACCAGCUAUUUUCUGGGAUAUUAUGGCAACACUAUAUAGGGCUUCAUUCUUUAGGAUUGUCUCUUCCCUCCAGCUAUUCCCAGACAAGGCUAAUUUAGUACUGAUACAAGCACAUCAAGAGGCUGGGGAAAGUUGGUUUGAUCUUCAAGGCAAAGGAUGAUUCUUGUUUUGCAUGACAUUUGCCCUUCCUUCCACCUUGCCAUUCUACCUAUUAGAAAUAAUCACAGAAUAUAGUCUUCGGGCCAGUUUCUCUGGGCUUCACUAACCUCCCAUAGUCUAACACUCAAAGGAUUGUUCUGACACCUGAGAGAUUUCUUUGUAUCUCGGUUACUGGGCUUGCUAAAUCUGCCAGAGAGGUAGCCCAACUUAUAAGCAUAGAUCUAGAUGUUCUGAAACAUUUGGAUGGAAUCACUUCCCAUUUUUCAAAUGGACUUUUUGGCACUGGCCUGGAAGGGUCACCCAUCCCCUUGCUUUGCCUUUUCAGUUCUGAUUUCUAGAGGCUUAGUGAAAUGUUUUUCCUCCUUUACCCACAGUUCUCAAGGCAGAGUUCCUGGAGAUGAGAGUUGAGGCCUCCGGUAUGUAGUCUCCACUCCUGAUUACAGAACCUUGUAACACGUUUUAAAAUCCUUGGCCUCAGGGGACCCUUCACUGUUCUGGAAGGGUCUUCUUCAAACUCUUUUGUGCUGAAGAGAGCAGCUCCUUCCUGGCCCUGCACCUUCAGGCUCUAGGAUGCUAUAAAAUAAGGGGCACAUGUCUUAGACACAGGUUUAUUUCUCUUAUGUUUUCUGUCUUUGUUCCCUCAGAAGGUCUAUGUUGAGCUCCUAUAUGAUUGUGAAUGGCUGAACUCCCUCAAGCCAGACUGCAGAAACCAAGCUAUCUACUGACCUGAGUCGAAGAAAGGAGCUUAGUUUUCAACUCUUCUCUGAAUUUCCUGUCUCCUCAAAAGACCAUCAAACUCUGAAAUACUUGGGACUAAAGACUGAUCUCAGAGGUCUUACCCUGAAGUAAAAGCUACUUGAGUUGGGGCCACUGCUUGCCUUGGAAGUAGAAGAGUAGGAAUGUUUGCCAAACAUUGGUGAAUCUUGAUAUGUCUCUUACUGAGGAUAAUGACCCUGGCGCCAGGUUGGAGCUCUGGCACUGCAGUAUAUUGCCAAGAACCUGUCUGUUCCUAUUGGGCCAAACAGCAUAUGGGUGAUAUCAACCACAACUUCAUGUGAACUCAGGACGGUGGCCUUUCUGUUUUUGCAUAAAACCACUUAGGACACAUCUGCAAAGAAUAUUUUGCAUGUUGAAGCCUUAGGUCUGUUUGAAUUAUUUUUCCUCCUAUUUUUUUCCUGACAGCUUAAUUUCUAAACAAUCAAGAAAGAAACAAAAACUGAAAACAGUUCUUUAAAAAAGGCAGACUGUAUCUGUCCUGCAGAAGUUCCACUUUUGGGUCAAAUACUGGGAAAAAUUGUUAAGAUGGAUUGAGGUGAGGCAGCUGGCACUGUUGCUUCAUGUUUGCCUUCUGCAGAUAAGCUUUUAUCUCCACCAAGAAGCAACUCCUAACCCAGUGUCCGUGGAUUCAGAAACUCCAUGAAGCUUCUGAAAUGGUAUGCAGAAUUCCAUGACAAUGUACCUUUUCUGGGGAGAUGGUCCAUAACAUUCUACUGAAUUUCAGAUGGGCCUGUGACCCAAUAAGGGUUAAGAACCAUAGCACUUGAGAUAAAAGACUCUUUACAACCCAUAAAGUAUUUGAUUGGAAGGCCUUCCAAAAUUAUUUCGUCUAAUUACCUAGUUUACUAUUGGAGAAACUGAGGCAGAGCAAGUUAUCAGCCAUGCCUAAACAAGUACCCAGGUCCCUGGGCUCCUGUACAAGUUUCUUUCCAUUAUACGACACUUGUCUAACAAGGGGCCUUAUGAUUGGUGGCGUUAGUGGUCAUCAUUUUGAGUGUUGGGCUUUUACCCUCUUUCUUGAGCCUCCCAUAUUUGUUAGCAAGUGGAAAACUUUCAGACACAAGCUCCUGGUGUUCCAUUUGCCAUUUCAGUCAUUAGAAAGGAACUAAAACACAACCUGUGUAGUGACUCAGAAAUCUGAAUAGACAUUUCUGAUGCUUGUUUAUUGAUGGGAAGCUGCUGGAGAAAGUGUCACUGUUUGUGUUCCCAUGCUCUCAGGCCAUAACCUGUCUUUAGGGUCUGUGUAAUUAUAAUAUGGCCAAGUGUGAGAAAAAGGGCUUUUCUACUUGAACCUUCUAGCAAUACCUUCACUAUGGAACUGAGAGAGAAGCAUAGACAUGGGUGGAGGGAGGAGAAGAAGAGAAGAAAGGAGAGGGAGAUGGAGGAAGGGGAAGAGAGAGAGAGAAUACACACAUGCCCAAACCAACUCUGAGAUGCCUUUGAAACAAUGUUACUGAAAGAUGAUAGCCACUUUCAAGACUGAACUCAACAUGAUCCAUUCGUGAAUUAGUAACAUGUAGGCCUUUGUGGAAGUAAUCGAGCAGAAACGAUGCUAUUCCCAAUAAAGACAUGCCCAGGUGGCCACGUAAAACUCUCUCAGCUCUACCCAGUCGCAAAGGCCAAGUUAACAAGAACCAGGAACAAGUGAGCCAAGUGAUCACCAUUCUACCUGAGGCUCACCCCCAAAGGAAGUUGCUGUGAGACUCCUGGCCUCACCCAGGAAGUACUUGUUGAGCCCCAUUCUCAGAGCUGUGGCCUCUCUGCUUGCCUUGCCCCAUUAGAUAACUAACUAAAGCAAGUAGGUAUGUAGAUUUUGGCCACAGAAGCAGUGGCCAGUGGGACUUCAGUACAUUUGAAGAUGGUAGGGCCAUCAUUUCACUCUUGUUUUCUUGGGGUGGGGGAAUACCAAAAUCACCACUACAAAUACUGAAAGAUUAUUGAGAACCAGAGAAAGCCACUGCAGUCCCAGUUGAAUAGAUGUCCCAGAAAUGUGACCAUGAGAUUACUGUGUGUUUUCUGGGACAUAGAUCAAGAGCCUGGCCUAGAAAGUUGGGACUACCAGGCUGGCUGGAGACCGGGAAGCAGUAGCUGGAUAGCUCUGCCCCUGCCCUAGGCUAUACCUGAAGAAGGCCCAAAAAUGAACCUCAGUGCCUCUCCCUUUUAUGCUCUAAUUUAAAGAGCAAAAGCUUCUGUGGUGAGGCUCACUGUCAUGGAAUGAAACUGGCUUGGCCCAGGCUUGAUGGAUGAAUAGUCAUUCAGAAGAGGCUAUGGGAAUGGGGUGAUAAUUGAAGAGUGGCAACUAUAGGAAAUUAUCUGCAUACCUUGGCCAGCAGGUUAGAGAAACUGGCAAUGGAUGAACCAUAAACCCUGAACUGACAGUGAUAACAUUUAUUAAGCACCUACUAAGUUCUAAGUGCUUCAUAUACAUAAUCUCCUUUGUCCUUAAAACAAUGAUGCAAGUAGAUGCUAGUCCCUCAUUUUACAGAAAAAAGAAUUGUGGCCCAGAAGGCUAAAGUAACUGGCUCAAGGUCUCACAGAAAGUAAAUAACAGGACUGUGACUCGAAUCCAGGCCUCUCCGACUCUGUACCCCAUGCUGUUUUUCUCUUUACCACACAGAGGCUACAUUACUGGAACUGGAUGACUGACUUUCUCUGCCUAAUAAAAUAUUAAAAAGCAAGCAUUUGAAGGGAAGUAGGGCAGGUCUAGUUUACAGGGGAACAAAAACUGGACUGGAAGAGAUUUCUGAGUUGGGCUUUCUCCUAACCUUCCAUAUACCCAUUUGGUAAUGUUUUAAAAAGAUCAUUCAAUUUUACCUUGUGAAAUGAAUUUAUUUUUUAGUUCAUAGUUACUAAGUCUUUGGCUUAGCUGUUUUUCAAAGAAAAAAGGGUCCUUGUAUAUGUCUAUGUACUUUACCAUGGUUGUAGCAUGUUUAUUUUCAGUCCAAGAGACUGAAGACAUCCACACAUACAGUUUGAGAAGGACAAAACGUAUUGGUGCCUCUCUGGUACUUAAUGCCUUGGGGUCAAAUCCUUACAAGGUUUUCUGUGGUGAUAACAAAAGUUAAGAGAUAAUUUAGAAUAAGAAAUAUCAUUGAAGUUUUUGCUUUAAAAAAGGUGGGGAGGUUGUCCAGCCACAGGGUGGGGGUGUGAAACUCAGCACCCGACUUCAGUAAUAAAACAGCAUCAUAUAGAAAUACUCUAGUAUUUCUAAAAUAAUUGUUUUAGGAUACUUCCCUUAUUUAGAAGUUCCUUGAUUAUGUAAUAACUAGAAUAAAGUAGUAGAGGAAGAUGUGUCUCUGUGACCAGAAAAAAAUCGCUUUCAAAAGAAUGUAGAUCAAUGAUACUAGUUUUAACAUAGCUGCAAGCAAAUAGCCUUGACACACUACAAGCCCAAAAAGCUUUAGGAGCACUUAAAAAUUGCAGAGAGAAGCAACAUACCUUGAAGAGAUGUUUUUGAUGACGAAAAGUCUUUAUUUUCACAGGGAAAAGAAGCACUUGAUACCAAGGGCAUUAAUAGAUGCUAGAAAGACUGCCUAUGGGAAAUAUAUAUGUGACAUCAGACAAAAGAAAGAGAUCCUGGGGCCCAUUCAUGUGACUUUCAAUAAAAUAUGCAGACUGUCCAGUA